CCUACGGGGGGCAGCAGUGAGGAAUAUUGGUCAAUGGGCGCGAGCCUGAACCAGCCAAGUCGCGUGAGGGAUGACGGUCCUACGGAUUGUAAACCUCUUUUGCCGGGGAGCAAGCGUGCGUUCGUGAACGCGCGUCGAGAGUACCCGGAGAAAAAGCAUCGGCUAACUCCGUGCCAGCAGCCGCGGUAAUACGGAGGAUGCGAGCGUUAUCCGGAUUUAUUGGGUUUAAAGGGUGCGUAGGCGGUCGGAUAAGUUAGAGGUGAAAUCCCGAGGCUCAACUUCGGAAUUGCCUCUGAUACUGUUCG
rnacentral:rRNA from 1 species